rnacentral:rRNA from 1 species
GACGAACGCUGGCGGCGUGCUUAACACAUGCAAGUCGAACGGACAGGCCCUGCUUUUGUGGCUUGCUCGUGUGGCGAACGGGUGAGUGUCACGUGUGUAUCCUGCCCUUGUCUUUGGGGUAACUUCAGGAAACUGGGGCUAUUACCGGAUAGGAGCUCCUGCUGCAUAUGGGGGGUUGGUAAGUUUCGGCGGUUGGGGCUGGUCUCGCGGCUUAUCGGCUUGUUGGUGGGGUAGUGGCUUACCAAGGCUUUGACGGGUAGCCGGCCUGGGAGGGUGAACGGCCACCUUGGGACUGAGAGACGGCGCAGACUCCAACGGGAGGCAGCAGUGGGGAAUAUUGCACAAUGGGCGGAAGCCUGAGACAGCAACGCUGCGUGCGGGAUGACGGCCUUCGGGUUGUAAACCGCUGUCGCCGGUGCCGAAGCGGGAGUGACGGUAAUGGGUAAAGAAGCACCGGCUAACUACGUG